GGGGCAGACCUGGCACGCGCCGAGCCGCCGCUGCCGCUGCUGCUGCCCUCCCGCCGCGGGGCCUGGCCCGCGCUCGUCCCCAGCGCCCGCCAUGCCGCGGCUUCCUUGGAGCUCGAGCGGCGGGGACUGGGGCACGAAAGCAGGGCGUCGUGGACAUGCAGGAGGCAUGGAGGAUCUCUGGCAGUUCAAGACCACUCUGUGCUACAAAAUGAGUUCAAAGGCAGUCUAAACUGCAUAGUGAAACCCUGUCUCAAAAAGACAAAAAAAUAAAUACUAUCUUAUUUUUUACAAAUAAAGUAUGAAUGGUGUGCAAUGUGUUUUAAAAUAUAUAUAUAUAUACAUUGUGGAAUGGCCAACCCAAGCUACUUAAAACAUACACCACCUUUGUUUUUUGUUUUUAAUAACGUCUCAUCAGGGGCUGGGGAUUUAGCUCAGCGGCAUAAGCGCCAGCCUUGGAAGCGCAUGGUCGUGAGUGUGAUCCCCGGUACCGAUUAAAAAAAUAACGUCUCAUCCAUUUAGGAUCAACAAAAAUUCCGUGAGAAUACAACCUUUCCUUAGCCUUCUAAUCGCGUUCAAUGCUGAGGGGGAAAAAAUAGCCUUAAUGACCUCUUCAAAAUAUAAUCUCUAGUCUGUACGUGCUAACAGCCUGCCAGCACCCUGGGCAGACCAGCUGAACCCUGUCUACGGAAGUAGUCGGACCUCGGAAGUGAGUGAGUGAAGGCGCGCAGCAUUCUGGGAACAGUUACGGAAGCCUAGUUGACGCUGUGGCUGUUACCACGGCAAUGGAAGCGAAUACAGGUUAUUGGCAGUUUGGAGUCUUUAGCCCGAAAGGUGAAGAUGCUCGCAAAGCUUUGGGGGUACUCGAAAAGAUCAUAAAGGCUCUUCUAAAAGAAGAUCGUUCUAUCAGGAAGUUUUGCAGGCGUGCUCCGUAGCUGGAGCAGUGAACAUGGGAAUCUGGGUCUCGCGCCCUUGUUCCUGGAUCUUAAAGUGCAACCCAGUGGCACCUCACUGUUGCUUCUCUAGCUUUCUACCACCUUCUGGAAAGUGUAGCCGUGAAUGGUGAUGCACAUCUAUAAUACUAGCACUAGGGAGGCUGAAGACAGGAGAAUCAGUGCAAAUUUGAGGCCAGCCUCAGCUACAGAGUAAGUUCAAGGCCAGUCUGAACUGAAUAGUGGAAGCCUGUCAAAAAAGACAAAAAAAACACAAUUGCUACCUUGGAAACUUGCCCACAACCCCUCGUGACAUUGUAUCCUGAUCUAAGUAAACUCUUGGCUUUAUUUUUACUCUGCUUUUGGUUCUUCAUGACUGACAAGUUACACAUGUUUUCCAGCCAGCCUGUCACGCCUGAAUCUCCUGCCUCAGUUCUCCUAGUUGUCUUUUGAAUUGUUUUACAUUUAGACUGCAUUCGUACAUUAAAAUUUGCUUAUUUGCCUUUUCAAUCUCUA